AUGGCCUCCAGUUCCUAUCGUGUAACAGUUUUGGCAGACUGAAAAAGGUGCGCUUGAAGAUACAAACCAUCACAAAUUCACGGAGACUGAUUUUAAGUUUACAAGUAUGAAACGACAAACAAUUCCUGGCUGGAGAAGAUGAAGUACUUAAAGACACAAACGCCACCUUCAUUAAAACCAGAGUUCUGCAACAGAGCUACCGAGAAAAAGUACACCCAAGAGUCAAGUGAAGUCACAACUGACUUUAACAGCAACGAGGCUUGUCAAAAAUCCGUGCUUGCAGAUUUCCUGACCGACCAGAGCAGUCUUAC